rnacentral:rRNA from 1 species
GACGAACGCUGGCGGCGUGCCUAACACAUGCAAGUCGAGCGAAGUGAGUACUACGGUACGAACUUAGCGGCGGACGGGUGAGUAACGCGUGGACAAUCUACCCUGUAGACUGGGAUAACACCUCGAAAGGGGUGCUAAUACCGGAUAAUGUCGAGAAGCGGCAUCGCUUUUCGAAGAAAGGAGAGAAUACGCUAUAGGAGGAGUCCGCGUCCCAUUAGCUAGUUGGUGAGGGUAACGGCCCACCAAGGCGACGAUGGGUAGCCGGCCUGAGAGGGUAAACGCCCACUGGAGCUGAAACACGGGCCAGAAUCCUACGGGAGGCAGCAGUGGGGAAUAUUGUGCGAUGGGGGAAACCCUGACACAGCAACGCCGCGUGAGCGAAGAAGGCCUUCGGGUUGUAAAGCUCAACAGUAUGGGAAGAUAAUGACGGUACCAUACGAAAGCCCCGGCUAACUACGUGCCAGCCGCCGCAGUAAAAC